rnacentral:snRNA from 1 species
UCUUUCAUCAUCAUUAUC